rnacentral:rRNA from 1 species
UACGUAGGGGCUAGCGUUGUCCGGAUUUAUUGGGCGUAAAGAGCGUGUAGGCGGCCAGGUAGGUCUGCUGUGAAAACUCGAGGCUCAACCUCGAGACGUCGGCGGAAACCAUCUGGCUAGAGUCCGGAAGAGGAGAGUGGAAUUCCGGGUGUAGCGGUGGAAUGCGUAGAGAUCCGGAAGAACACCGGUGGCGAAGGCGGCCUGCUGGGCAGUAGCUGACACUGAGGCGCGACAGCGUGGGAGCAACAGG